UUUUUUUUUUUUUGACUGCACUUUGUAUGGGUGACAUGAAGUACUUGCAUUUUCCAUUAUGCUUCUCGGUCAUUAAAUUUAGUUAUAUUUUUAUGCUCAGUAUCAUUUUUUAAAAAGACUUUCUUUACAUGUGUACCCCUCUCCCAUUGUCGACAUCCCCAUCAACAUGCUACAUUUGCUAUAACUAAUGAACUGCACUGACACAUCAUUAUCAUCCAGAGUCCAUACUGUACCUUAGGGUCCACUCUUGAUGUGCAUUCAAUGGGUUUUGCCACAUCUGUAAUGAUGUGUAUCUACCAUUAUAGUAUCAUACAGAUUAGUUUCAUUGUUCUAAAAAUCCCUAUGCUCUGCUUAGUCAUCCUUCCCUUCCCUCUAACCCUAAGUAACCACUGAUCUUUUUACUGCCUCACAGUUCAGCUUUUUAUGGAAUGACAUAUAGUUGGAAUCAUACAGUAUUUAGCCUUUACAAAUUGGCUUUUUUUAACUGAGUAAUACGCAUUUAAAUUUCCUCCAUGUCUUUUCAUAGCUUGAGAGCUCAUUUCCUUUUAGCAUUGAAUAAUACUCCAUUGUCUGGAUGUACCACAGUCCACUCACUGAAGAGGUUGCUAGGUUGCUUCUAAAUUUUGGAAACUAUAAAUAAAAGUACCAUAAACAUGCACGUGCAGGUGUUUACACGACAUAAGUUUUCACCUGAUUUGGGUAAAUUCCAAGGAGGAUGAUUGCUGGAUUAUAUAAGGGUAUGUUUUACUUUGUAAGAAACUGCCAAACUGCCUUCCAAAGUAACUGUACCUCAAUAGAAUAUUUUCCCAUUAAAAAGACCAAAUAUGGACAAAUUUAUUAUUUUUGAUGAAAUUCCAAAUCCAAUAUAGUACAUUUCCAAAAUCUUUUUUUUUUUAUUGGACCCAAGCUUUAGAAAAAGAUAUAUGUGUGUAUCAGUGAAGAACAAAGGGGUACAAACAUUAUCAAUUUUAUUUUUCAAGCAAUACAAUACUUGGGAUGGAGUAAUAAAUGAUCAGGUGUUACCAUGGCAAAACUAAGCUUUGUUAGAAAUAGUUACAGUGCUUAGGAAAACUGCUUGUAAUGAACAACUCAGAACUAGGUGAAAGAAAAUAUUUAGGGAGAUGUAAUGAGGAAGGCUACAUUAUCCGGUUUACCCACAUUAUUUUCUAAAAUGUUGAUGAAAAAUUCCAUCUAUAAUCUAAAGUGAUGAAUUGAAGCAACACUGAAAACUAAUUAAAGAUAAUAAUACAUCCAAAUCAAAAUACUGAGUUUUUUCAUCCAAGGCUCCGUAAGGAAAAGCCAGUGUUCAAUUAAACCGCAGGAGCUUAGAAAAUCCAGCAGCGAAUUACCUCACUCCUGAAAUUUUUUUUUCCACACAGACAGUAUAGUUCAUGCCUGUCGUUUUUUUACAGUGCUAUGUAGCACCUCCUAUGCUUAUUUCAUAUGCACUCUUCUAUUAGUAAUGACAAAAUUAUCUGAAAUGCAUGAUAUUAUCUCUAUAGGAAAUAAUGUCUUUCCCAGUCUCACUAACGAGAGAGAGGGAGAAGCAGUAAAAUGAAUUUCCAUCAUUAUCAAGCCAGGAUGUGGCACUGACAGGCCAAGAACUGAGCCCUUUGGUGCCCCCAAUCCAGAAGCUUACUCUCCCCUUGCUAAGCCUCUGGGAUCAAGGGGUGUAUGAAAACAGAGCCACACGCUUAGAGGCUGUUCUGUGAAUUAUAUGAAUGUGGUGAUUUUCAUUAUAAACCAUCUUAGUUGUAAAUAAGGAAAUAAGCCUAAGAUUUGGGACAGGAGAAAAAACUGAAAACCUAGAAAUCCAUAAAAGAAAGGCAAUGACUGCCUUAAAAACUACACACUUGUGCGAGCUUGCACACACACACACACACACACACAGUGAAGAACUUCAAUACCUUCUUGUCCCACUGUAAGUGUUUAUUAAAUAUAGAUUGUGGGCAUCGUCCAGAGGUCAAAAAGAGGAAUACAUGACCUGGGUGAAGUGAAAGCCAACGAACACCAUUUGUACCUGAGAAAAAUGUUAAAAUAAAAUCUCAAAUAUGAUUCAAGAAGAAUUUAGAACUUACUAGCCCCAGGCACACAUCUCAAAGAGCAAAACAGUGUUGGGCCUGGAAUGGGAAUUUAGAUGUAAGAAAAUUCUUAAAAAAACCCUUUAUUGAAAAGCCCUGGGCGAACUGUUUUUCAGAAUUCGGAAUUAUUCAGAAUAUGAAAAUAAUACCCCUAACUCUAAGGUUGUAAUAAUCAAAGACAUUAUUUCUGCAGCAAAAAUAUGAUAACCCCAUUGUGACUUUAAAAAAUUAUAAACAGACUCUUGUCAAUUUGGAUCAGGCCAGAUUCGAUUACACAACAGUCAGAGAAAGACUUUAGGUUUUCAGAGUAUUUUGCAUGCUUGUUUGUUUUAUUUUGUUUUGUUUUUAGGUCUUGGAAUUGCAGAUAAGCGAUUCAAGAGCUUUUAAAAUAAUUUAGAAUUAUACAAUUAUAUCUAAGUGGGCAUGUAACAUAGAAAAUUGGAAUUUUAAUUGCUUUACUUCUUAGGUCCUCAAGAAGUUAAAGUUUUCUUGAUAAGGAAAGAGUUUAAGAGACAAUUAGUUGUUCAAGAAAAUACUAAUUUGGAGUUCCUGUCGUGGCUCAGUGGAAAUGAAUCUGACUAGUAUCCAUGAGGAUGCAGGUUCAACCCUUGGCCUUGCUCAGUGGGUUAAGGAUCCGGCAUUGAUAUGAGCUGUGGUGUAGGUAGCAGAUGCCUCUGGGAUGUGGCAUUACUGUGGCUGUGGUGUAGGCCAGCAGCUACAGUCCAAUUUGACCCCUAGCUUGGGAAUCUCCAUGUGCUGCGUGUGCGGCCCUAAAAAGACCAAAAAAAAAAAAGAAAAAGAGAGAGAGAUAAAAAAAAUUAAAAUAUAUGUUUAAGACUUGAAUGUAGAGAAGACUGCUCAACUUCUAGAAUAAUUACAAACAAAGAAAAACGACAGUGAUCCCAUCACAGUAUAUACAUGUGGACUCAGUAGGAUUUAGUUAUAUAACCACUUUAAGUGUUGAGGAAAAUAAGACUUUAAGUGAAGACAAGUUAUUUCUAAUAAACACAUAAAUAUUUUUAUAUCCUUUCAUGCUUUUUGGUUGAAUUUCUAUUUUAACUUAUAAAAGUAAUGGUUCAACUUUGUGUAUACGUCUCAGAACUACUGUUAAUGCAAAUAUGUAGGGAAACAUGCAGAUUGUAAAAUAGUUGGCAACUACUUGAAAUUGAAAAUUAUUUAGGUGUGUGUAUUUUAGGUAGCUAAAUUAUGCAAGAAACAAUUUUAUUAGUUUUGUAUUUAUUUAGAUAUUUAACUCUUCAUUAAAGCACCCAAGAUGAUCAUAUUAAAAUAUUAUCUCUUUUAAACCCUCUUGUAUUCAGAGACCUGCCCAAGGCAUGCCCUUGAUCGACCACCUUGGAUGACAUACACUGAUAGAGUUACUUGUUCAUUAAUCAAGCGAGGCAGUAGGCAGAACUUGCAAGGCAAAAGUGUCUUAAAAUAGACUGUACUUUCUGUACCCAGUUUGUUAUCUUUACAGGACCAAAAAUAGUGGUCAUCAGACUGAAUACCUACUGUUGGCAUUUUAGACCUCCUAUCAAGAAUAAUUUUUUUUUUAUGCUUUAAAUUUGAAGGUAGUGCAGUAAAGCUGAGACAAUACAGUAAGUAGAAUUUGAUGUUAGAUUUCUUAACUAUCAUAAAGGGAAAAAAUAAUUUUUAAAUAAAAAAGUAACAAGGGAUUUUGAGAUAGUUUCCUUUAUAUUCUCAACAACCUGCUGGAAACUCAGAAAUGAAGACCUGGAGUUCCUGCUGUGGUUCAGUGGUUAACGAAUCCGACUAGGAACCAUGAGGUUGUGGGUUCGAUCCCUGGCCUUGCUCAGUGGGUUAAGGAUCCGGCGUUGCCAUGAGCUGUGGUGUAGGUUGCAGAAACGACUCAGAUCCUGCAUUUCUAUGUCUUGGGCGUAGGCGGGUGGCUACAGCUCUAGUUCGACCCCUAGCAGGGAACCUCCAUAUGCUGCGGGAGCGGCCCUAGAAAAAGACAAAAAAAAAAAAAAAAAGAAAAAAGAAAAAAAGGAAGACCUGUAAGGUCAUGAUAAACCACAUCCUGAUUGCCACCAAAUAAUGCUAGUAGAGUAGAUCUAAACAUUUCUACUUUUAUUAAGGAAAUAACCACAAUGAAAAUGCACUGAGAGAACAAAAUUUAUGCUCUUCUUUUUCACCUGCCUCUAACACUAUUCACAGCAUCUAUUCACAGUUAUGCACAUUGUAAUUGUACCACAUACACAUUUUAACAAAUGUUUGCAGUACAAAUGUUGAUAUCAUUAAUUUCAAAAUGCCACUAGUUUUACAAGAGAUAUUUAACUGAGGUGUAUGAAAACACCUACAUUUUUUUUUUUUACAUAAGCUUAGCUCUAAAUUCUUUUUGCUUUAAUUCAUUCUCUUGAAAGUUACUCUUCUGCAAUUUUCAAUAAUACAUAUCCUGCUAGUACUUCAGUAAGAAACACAGGGGUGGAUAUGAACUUUAAUGGCACACUGAGAAUAUGAAAGGCAGUCACCCAUAUGGAAAACACCAAUUCCUCUGCAUGCUUUAUAUCAUUUUAACUUAUAAUAGUAAUCACAACUUACUGUAUUUCCUGGGGAUUUCCCAAGGCACAGCCAAAGGCAAUCAGUUCCUCCCAGCUAGUCAUAAAUGUCCUGUGUUUCUUUCAUUGCUUAAAUAUUGCCCUAAGCCCUUUUCUUUUAUUAUAUGCCUUUGAAACAGAGUGAACCAUUUCCCAAAAGACACAUCAAGGAGAAGGUUGACAUUUGCAAAAAUAAGAAGCAGCAUGCACUGUGUGUUAAUACGAGGGCCUGAAAGACUUGACAUGCGUUUCUCUAAUUAUUUUAGAUCCUCUUUCUGGCAGUGUGUUCAUUUAUUAUCAAUAGAAAUUAAAAUCUUUUCAAUGUCAGUACUCUUCACACUGCAGAAGGAGGGAGAAAAAGUUAAACUAAGGACAGCCUAUUAAAAAUUUGUUUUCGUAGAGGCAGAAAUAAACAUUCUCUUUAAACUAUUUUCUCAUUUGACACAGAUGUAUCAAUUAUGAUAAAGUGUGUGCUUUUUAUAGAAAAAAGACAGAAAAGAGGCUCAAAAAAGUAAUGUAAAACAAAUUCAUUUAAGGAAUUUAUCAUUACAGAGAAUAAUUUAAUCAUUUAAAACAUAUAGCUGACAUAUACAAAUACUCAUCAAAAACCUUUAGUGCUUCUCCAAUGAGGGCAGAAUUUUAAAAAAUCAUCAUUUAACUCUCAGGUUUAUCACAAGCUUAAUUCACCUACUCCUUUAUAUUCACUUACCAUUUUCCCAACUAACUUUCAGACUGUGCUUAAAUAAAUUGAAAGCUGAAAAAUAGGUAGACUGUGGGAUGCAGGGAGGAAAGAGAUAAAGUUUAUGUCUUGAUUGACUGAAUGUGAACCAGAUCUAAGUCUGUGUAUUAAAGGUACAGUAACAUUCCAACUACCUGUAAUCAGAUAUGCAAAAUAUUCAAAAUAUUCAGAGAAUGUGGACCUGGAUACAAAACGGUGCAUAAGAAGCAAGGAAGAUAGUGUAUUAUAACAUGAUUUCAUAGCCAAAGAAUAUUGCCUUCCUCAGGCUACAACAUAAAAUAUAGUAUAUCAAUGCCCUCUAAUUUGCAAAAUCAAGACCACUUGAUCAGUUCCUAGAGAAAGUCUAUAAACCAAGAAUCACAAAAAAAUGUAUUUCAAUAUGGCAAACAUUUCAACUUAAAACACCUGGAAAUCCAUGCAUUCAUCCAUCUUCCUUUCUCUUGAGUGAGGGCUUUCCCAAGUCACUCUCCUUCCUCUUUCUUAUACUCACACAGGAAUACGUUUUCCCUAAUUCCAGCUGAAGUUAAUUUAAAGUGGCCUUAGAACUUAAAGUUUCUUGCAAGGCUAUCUGAACAUUGAUGUUUUUCCUAUGAAGGUGCUCUUUGUUCCCAAAUUUUUCAGUGAUUUCAAGACUUUCUAAAACACUCAACUUGAUUUACUCAUCCUUUUCCCUUAUCUGUUUUACCAAUUACUGGUUAAUCUAAUAACAAUAAUGUUUACAGUAACAAUUACCACUAAAACAGACAGGUUUAGCUGCAAACAAUUCAUGGAAAAGGAGUGAGCUGACCCAUAGGAUAGGAGAAACAAGCACUGGCAUCACAGCUUUCCAGAGGGAAUGCGAUAUUGGAAUUAAUUCAGUGUCUAGGUCAGUGGUGUUCUCUUACCAUGGGGAAUGAUCACUAUUUUUUUUUUUUU
rnacentral:lncRNA from 1 species